UAGGGAAUCUUCCGCAAUGGGCGAAAGCUUGACGGAGCAACGCCGCGUGAGUGAUGAAGGUCUUCGGAUCGUAAAACUCUGUUAUUAGGGAAGAACAAAUGUGUAAGUAACUAUGCACGUCUUGACGGUACCUAAUCAGAAAGCCACGGCUAACUACGUGCCAGCAGCCGCGGAAAUACGUAGGUGGCAAGCGUUAUCCGGAAUUAUUGGGCGUAAAGCGCGCGUAGGCGGUUUUUUAAGUCUGAUGUGAAAGCCCACGGCUCAACCGUGGAGGGUCAUUGGAAACUGGAAAACUUGAGUGCAGAAGAGGAAAGUGGAAUUCCAUGUGUAGCGGUGAAAUGCGCAGAGAUAUGGAGGAACACCAGUGGCGAAGGCGACUUUCUGGUCUGUAACUGACGCUGAUGUGCGAAAGCGUGGGGAUCAAACAGG
rnacentral:rRNA from 1 species